rnacentral:rRNA from 1 species
GACGAACGCUGGCGGCGUGCCUAAUACAUGCAAGUAGAACGCUGAAGGAGGAGCUUGCUUCUCUGGAUGAGUUGCGAACGGGUGAGUAACGCGUAGGUAACCUGCCUGGUAGCGGGGGAUAACUAUUGGAAACGAUAGCUAAUACCGCAUAAGAGUAGAUGUUGCAUGACAUUUGCUUAAAAGGUGCAAUUGCAUCACUACCAGAUGGACCUGCGUUGUAUUAGCUAGUUGGUGGGGUAACGGCUCACCAAGGCGACGAUACAUAGCCGACCUGAGAGGGUGAUCGGCCACACUGGGACUGAGACACGGCCCAGACUCCUACCGGAGGCAGCAGUAGGGAAUCUUCGGCAAUGGACGGAAGUCUGACCGAGCAACGCCGCGGGAGUGAAGAAGGUUUUCGGAUCGUAAAGCUCUGUUGUAAGAGAAGAACGAGUGUGAGAGUGGAAAGUUCACACUGUGACGGUAUCUUACCAGAAAGGGACGGCUAACUACGUG